rnacentral:rRNA from 1 species
GAUGAACGCUGGCGGCGUGCCUAAUACAUGCAAGUCGAGCGAACAGACGAGGAGCUUACUCCUCUGACGUUAGCGGCGGACGGGUGAGUAACACGUGGAUAACCUACCUAUAAGACUGGGAUAACUUCGGGAAACCGGAGCUAAUACCGGAUAACAUGUUGAACCGCAUGGUUCAACAGUGAAAGACGGUCUUGCUGUCACUUAUAGAUGGAUCCGCGUCGCAUUAGCUAGUUGGUAAGGUAACGGCUUACCAAGGCAACGAUGCGUAGCCGACCUGAGAGGGUGAUCGGCCACACUGGAACUGAGACACGGUCCAGACUCCUACGGGAGGCAGCAGUAGGGAAUCUUCCGCAAUGGGCGAAAGCCUGACGGAGCAACGCCGCGUGAGUGAAGAAGGUCUUCGGAUCGUAAAACUCUGUUAUUAGGGAAGAACAAAUGUGUAAGUAACUAUGCACGUCCUGACGGUACCUAAUCAGAAAGCCACGGCUAACUACGUG